rnacentral:rRNA from 1 species
AGAUUGAACGCUGGCGGCAUGCCUAACACAUGCAAGUCGAACGGGAGUAGCAAUACUCUAGUGGCGGACGGGUGAGGAAUACGUAGGAAUUUGCCCUUAAGUGGGGGAUAACCCGGGGGAAACCCGAUUAAUACCGCAUGACCUCGAAAGAGCAAAGUGGGGGAUCGCAAGACCUCACGCUUUUGGAGAAGCCUACGUCGGAUUAGCUAGUUGGUGAGGUAAUGGCUCACCAAGGCGACGAUACCCGUAACUGGGUACUGAGAGGAUGAUCAGUCACACCGGACUGAGACACGGUCCGGACUCCGUACGGGAGGCACGCGAGUGGGGGAAUAUUGGACAUGGGCGUCAAGGCCUGAUCCAGCAAUGCCGCGUAGUCGUAGGAAGAACGGCCGUUUACGGGUUACGUAAAGGUCUAACGUUUAAAGGUUAGGGAAA